rnacentral:rRNA from 4 species
AGAGUUUGAUCAUGGCUCAGAUUGAACGCUGGCGGCAGGCCUAACACAUGCAAGUCGAGCGGUAGCACAGAGAGCUUGCUCUCGGGUGACGAGCGGCGGACGGGUGAGUAAUGUCUGGGAAACUGCCUGAUGGAGGGGGAUAACUACUGGAAACGGUAGCUAAUACCGCAUAACGUCGCAAGACCAAAGUGGGGGACCUUCGGGCCUCAUGCCAUCAGAUGUGCCCAGAUGGGAUUAGCUAGUAGGUGGGGUAACGGCUCACCUAGGCGACGAUCCCUAGCUGGUCUGAGAGGAUGACCAGCCACACUGGAACUGAGACACGGUCCAGACUCCUACGGGAGGCAGCAGUGGGGAAUAUUGCACAAUGGGCGCAAGCCUGAUGCAGCCAUGCCGCGUGUGUGAAGAAGGCCUUCGGGUUGUAAAGCACUUUCAGCGGGGAGGAAGGCGUUAAGGUUAAUAACCUUGGCGAUUGACGUUACCCGCAGAAGAAGCACCGGCUAACUCCGUGCCAGCAGCCGCGGUAAUACGGAGGGUGCAAGCGUUAAUCGGAAUUACUGGGCGUAAAGCGCACGCAGGCGGUCUGUCAAGUCGGAUGUGAAAUCCCCGGGCUCAACCUGGGAACUGCAUUCGAAACUGGCAGGCUAGAGUCUUGUAGAGGGGGGUAGAAUUCCAGGUGUAGCGGUGAAAUGCGUAGAGAUCUGGAGGAAUACCGGUGGCGAAGGCGGCCCCCUGGACAAAGACUGACGCUCAGGUGCGAAAGCGUGGGGAGCAAACAGGAUUAGAUACCCUGGUAGUCCACGCCGUAAACGAUGUCGAUUUGGAGGUUGUGCCCUUGAGGCGUGGCUUCCGGAGCUAACGCGUUAAAUCGACCGCCUGGGGAGUACGGCCGCAAGGUUAAAACUCAAAUGAAUUGACGGGGGCCCGCACAAGCGGUGGAGCAUGUGGUUUAAUUCGAUGCAACGCGAAGAACCUUACCUGGUCUUGACAUCCACAGAACUUUCCAGAGAUGGAUUGGUGCCUUCGGGAACUGUGAGACAGGUGCUGCAUGGCUGUCGUCAGCUCGUGUUGUGAAAUGUUGGGUUAAGUCCCGCAACGAGCGCAACCCUUAUCCUUUGUUGCCAGCGGU